rnacentral:rRNA from 1 species
AACGAGUAAAGUGGCGAACGGGUGCGUAACACGUGAGUUAUUUACCCUUUAGUGAAGGAUACCUUCGGGAAACCGAAGUUAAUACUGCAUAAGUCUUUUCGAAGAGAAAGGUGGCCUCUUUGCUACCGCUAAAGGAUAAGCUUGCGGACUAUUAGCUAGUUGGUAGGGUAAAGGCCUACCAAGGCUUAGAUGGUUAGCCGACCUGAGAGGGUGAUCGGCCACAUUGGGACUGAGAUACGGCCCAGACUCC